GGAAUAUUGCACAAUGGGGGAAACCCUGAUGCAGCAACGCCGCGUGGAGGAUGACACAUUUCGGUGCGUAAACUCCUUUUAUGUGAGAAGAUAAUGACGGUACCACAUGAAUAAGCACCGGCUAACUCCGUGC
rnacentral:rRNA from 1 species